UAGUCCAAACUGGCGAAAAAGUGCGUUUUAGGGUCAGUUUUUGCGGUUUUCAAAAAAAAAAUUUCACUACUUCUAGUUGUCCUAUAAGAAUAAAAAUUAUAUGUCAAUAAAGUUUAAGUCUUUAUCUGUCGUAAUCUGGUAUUUUUAUAUCUGUAACACAUGUCUGAAUGUGUUUUAUAUUUGUUUGAAAAGUAUCAGUUACGUCAACAAAUUUCACCGUUUUGCGUGUACCGAUCGACCCCACACUGUUUUAUUUGGUCGCGGCUUCGCGACGAAGCAUCGUAGAAGCAUAAUCUUAAUGUCAUUUUAAAGAUCGAAUUCUAGGCUAUCGUUUGAUGUAUAAAUUGAAAAAAUAACUUGUUUAUUUCAUUUAAAAAAUACAGAUUUUAAACUUUAAAUGACGAUAUAUACACGGAAACAAACUAAUUCUGUUUCAAUUUUUACACCGAUGUAAAGUUCAGUUUUAUAACUACUUUGUGUUGUAAAUUCAAGUAUUUCUGAUUUACGGUCGCGAAGCCGUACCCCCAAUAAACAUAUAACCCUCGAGUCGACUUUCAGCCCCGAGUAAGUUGCUCGCCGAACGGUUUUAAAGGUUGACGACCGAUGAUGCUAAACGGAUUUUACCCUUGCUAGAGCCUUCAAACAAGUUCUGGAGACAUUUACAGUGGCCUAUCCAGAACUUUCCUUACAAGGGAAGGGAAGAAGGCCAAGACCCCACUCCCCCCUACAAUUCCCAAAACAUAUUACUUACUCUUGAUGCUCCACAAGAUCAAGGUUGAGGGAAACAAGACGUACAAAGAUGUGGAGUUGUAGUUUUAAAAACUGUUCCCCCAAAGCAGUUAUCAACCGUAUAGGUUUGAAAAGAAACCAAAGCAUGUGGCAUCAACUGCUGCAUCACUUGUAGG